UGGGGAAUCUUGCACAAUGGGCGAAAGCCUGAUGCAGCGACGCCGCGUGCGGGAUGAAGGCCUUCGGGUUGUAAACCGCUUUCAGCAGGGACGAGGCGAAAGUGACGGUACCUGCAGAAGAAGCCCCGGCUAACUACGUGCCAGCAGCCGCGGUAAUACGUAGGGGGCAAGCGUUAUCCGGAUUCAUUGGGCGUAAAGCGCUCGUAGGCGGUCUGUUAGGUCGGGAGUUAAAUCCGGGGGCUCAACCCCCGUUCGCUCCCGAUACUGGCAGACUUGAGUUUGGUAGGGGAAGGUGGAAUUCCUAGUGUAGCGGUGGAAUGCGCAGAUAUUAGGAAGAACACCAGUGGCGAAGGCGGCCUUCUGGGCCAUAACUGACGCUGAGGAGCGAAAGCUAGGGGAGCAAACAGGAUUAGAUACCCUGGUAGUCCUAGCCGUAAACGAUGGACACUAGGUGUGGGGGAAUAUUUCUUCCGUGCCGCAGCUAACGCAUUAAGUGUCCCGCCUGGGGAGUACGGCCGCAAGGCUA
rnacentral:rRNA from 1 species